rnacentral:rRNA from 1 species
CGCUAGCGACAGGCUUAACACAUGCAAGUCGAGCCUUAGCACAGGUAGCAAUACCGGGUGGCGACCGGCGCACGGGUGAGUAACGCGUAUGCAACUUGCCUAUCAGAGGGGGAUAACCCGGCGAAAGUCGGACUAAUACCGCAUGAAGCAGGGAUCCCGCAUGGGAAUAUUUGCUAAAGAUUCAUCGCUGAUAGAUAGGCAUGCGUUCCAUUAGGCAGUUGGCGGGGUAACGGCCCACCAAACCGACGAUGGAUAGGGGUUCUGAGAGGAAGGUCCCCCACAUUGGUACUGAGACACGGACCAAACUCCUACGGGAGGCAGCAGUGAGGAAUAUUGGUCAAUGGCCGAGAGGCUGAACCAGCCAAGUCGCGUGAGGGAUGAAGGUUCUAUGGAUCGUAAACCUCUUUUAUAAGGGAAUAAAGUGCGGGACGUGUCCCGUUUUGUAUGUACCUUAUGAAUAAGGAUCGGCUAACUCCGUGCCAGCAGCCGCGGUAAUACGGAGGAUCCGAGCGUUAUCCGGAUUUAUUGGGUUUAAAGGGUGCGUAGGCGGCCUUUUAAGUCAGCGGUGAAAGUCUGUGGCUCAACCAUAGAAUUGCCGUUGAAACUGGGGGGCUUGAGUAUGUUUGAGGCAGGCGGAAUGCGUGGUGUAGCGGUGAAAUGCAUAGAUAUCACGCAGAACCCCGAUUGCGAAGGCAGCCUGCCAAGCCAUGACUGACGCUGAUGCACGGAAGCGUGGGGAUCAAACAGGAUUAGAUACCCUGGUAGUCCACGCAGUAAACGAUGAUCACUAGCUGUUUGCGAUACACUGUAAGCGGCACAGCGAAAGCGUUAAGUGAUCCACCUGGGGAGUACGCCGGCAACGGUGAAACUCAAAGGAAUUGACGGGGGCCCGCACAAGCGGAGGAACAUGUGGUUUAAUUCGAUGAUACGCGAGGAACCUUACCCGGGUUUGAACGCAUUCGGACCGAGGUGGAAACACCUUUUCUAGCAAUAGCCGUUUGCGAGGUGCUGCAUGGUUGUCGUCAGCUCGUGCCGUGAGGUGUCGGCUUAAGUGCCAUAACGAGCGCAACCCUUGCCACUAGUUACUAACAGGUAAAGCUGAGGACUCUGGUGGGACUGCCAGCGUAAGCUGCGAGGAAGGCGGGGAUGACGUCAAAUCAGCACGGCCCUUACAUCCGGGGCGACACACGUGUUACAAUGGCGUGGACAAAGGGAAGCCACCUGGCGACAGGGAGCGAAUCCCCAAACCACGUCUCAGUUCGGAUCGGAGUCUGCAACCCGACUCCGUGAAGCUGGAUUCGCUAGUAAUCGCGCAUCAGCCAUGGCGCGGUGAAUACGUUCCCGGGCCUUGUACACACCGCCCGUCAAGCCAUGGGAGCCGGGGGUACCUGAAGUCCGUAACCGCGAGGAUCGGCCUAGGGUA